GAUGAACGCUGGCGGCAUGCCUAACACAUGCAAGUCGAGCGAAGGCACGGGUCUUUUCCUUGGAUGGGGGUGGCGGCGGAGGGGUCAUGCCCACGUGUAUGACAUACCUAUGGGAAUGGGGUAACUACAGGGGACCUGAUCUCAUGGCGGAUGAUAUUUUGAACCGGGUGGUUCAUGAGUGGAAUCCGGUCUUGCUGGCACUAAUAGCCGGAUACACGGUGCAUUAGUUAGUUGGUAGCGAGACGGCUAACCAAGGCUACGAUGCAUAGCCGACCUGAAGGGGUGAUCGGCCACACUGGAACUGAGACACGGUCCAGACUCCUACGGGAGGCAGCAGUAGGGAAUCUUCCGCAAUGGGCGAAAGCCUGACGGAGCAACGCCGCGUGAGUGAUGAAGGUCUUCGGAUCGUAAAGCGCUGUAAUUAGGGAGGAAGAUAAGUGUAUUUAACUGUGCACAUCUUGACGGUACCAAAAGAGAAAGCCACGGCUAACUACGUG
rnacentral:rRNA from 1 species